rnacentral:rRNA from 1 species
CCUCGUGGGGUGCCGCAGUUAACGGGUAAACGCCCCGCCUGGGGAGUACGGGCGCAAGCCUGAAACUCAAAGGAAUUGGCGGGGGCCCGCACAAACGGGUGGAGCGUCCGGUUCAAUUCGAUGCUAACCGAAAAACCUUACCCGGGCUUGACAUGGUGGAAACCCUUGCGAAAGCGAGGGGUGCCGUCCUCUGGACGGAAUCCCACCACAGGUAGUGCAUGGCCGUCGUCAGCUCGUGUCGUGAGAUGUUGGGUUAAGUCCCGCAACGAGCGCAACCCCUGCCCCUAGUCGCUACCCCGAAUGGGGAGCACUCUAGGGGGACUGCCGGCGAUAAGCCGGAGGAAGGUGGGGAUGACGUCAGGUCAGUAUGCCCUUUAUGCCCGGGGCUACACAGGCGCUACAGUGGCCAGGACAAUGGGAUGCGACCCAGUAAUGGGGAGCAAAUCCCCCAAACCUGGUCAUGGUGCGGAUUGAGGGCUGAAACUCGCCCUCAUGAAGCCGGAAUCGGUAGUAAUGGCGGAUCAGCUAAGCCGCCGUGAAUACGUUCUCGGGCCUUGCACACACCGCCCGUCACGCCACGGAAGUCAGUCUUCCCGGAAGGCCCCAAGCUAACCCGCAAGGGAGGCAGGGGACGAUGGGAAGGCUGGCAACUGGGGCGAAGUCGUAACAAGGUAA